AGUGAAGAUUUCCUAGAGCGUACAAGAAGGGGAGCAUUUGUCUAACUUUAACUCUUCUGCCUACAGGCAUGUACAUGUGCUGGGAUAUGAUACAACAGCUGUUUUUGAGGGGACAGAUCUACCCUAUCUGUGGAAACCAAGGAAGGAUUGGUGUAUAUGGAUUAUGGCCAGGAAAGAAACAGGAUCCAGAACUGGUGUUUUAGAAGACAUAUAGAAGGACAAGCAUAUGGAUAAAUGCCACAGAAAUAUCUUCAAAAUAAUCCAGAAGCAAAACUCUUAUUGAAAAUGGGAGAUGUUAAGUACUGAUAACCUGUCCACAGUGAAUAGAAGAUGACCAGGAGUGGAAGAUCUCCCCGACUUUGAGUUCUCCUCCCAUCACCAGGAUGCUGCUGACCUGCUCUCUGCUCUGCACUCAACUCAGUGGUGGGACUUCCAGAGGCUGCCUUCACCAUUUCCUUCAAUUAUGUUCUCCAUAAAGCCCUACCUCAGCUCUCCCAGAGUCUCAGCUAUUCAAGUUACUCCAGUCCAUGUUUAAGUGGAGCACAGCAACAUUUCUGUGACUUGCUUCUUGUUGGUGCAUUGGAGAGUUGAAGAAAUGGAGUAGCCUGGAUUGGUCCUUGAUAUGCAAUCACUUCAUGGAGUACUGUACACAGGACUAUGCACCAUUAGCCAAGCCUCCCAGUCAGCCAAAUGUGUGCCAGGGAAGGAAUUACGUCUUUUCAUUAGGAGGGUAACAGUAUGAAGGCAUUACAGGACACAGCGUUGAGUGCCACCAGUCUUGGAAUUGAACAGGUAAGCAGUGUACAGACAUUAGUCCUGAAGGGCUUAUCUGGUAGAAUUUUUCUGGGAUUUCUCACAGGAAAAGAGAGUGGGCCUUUGAGAAACAUGCUUUGUGACACAGAGUAGUACACGCAUGUGUGUAUGUGUCUUCAAAGGGCAAAGAGCAGCUAAAGGGCCAGCUUACCCUGGCAAUGUCAGUGACUGUUGGAUACCUGAACGAUCUUUGAAUGGGUAGCAGGCUGCUUGCUUGUGGGAAAGGAAAGGAUAUGGCCCUUGCUCAUGUGGAUAAGCUCAAGAACAUGUUGAACAGCUAAGCGUAUUUGUUUGGGUCAUUAUUAGUGCCCCAGGUAGGUUCAGUGUCCAGACAUGAUAGUAUAGAGGCUUUGUUCAAUGAUUAUGGAUAUUUCACUCUGAUAUAAUUCUCUGCUCUGAUCAGAAUGACCCUUCCUUUGUUUCUGUGUGACACCUUAUGUUCUCUGUGGUUGUUCAGUGAUUACACUACAGGCAUUAUGCUGACAUCCAAGCCUUUGUUACCAUCGUUAAAAAUAAUAAUACAAAAAUGGCAUACUGUUUUCUACAAUGCUUUAAGGCUAUUUGCAAAUUAAGAGUCAGCAGUGAGUGCAACAGGCUGCUUGCUCAGCAGUGUUGGCAGUGCAGAUCGCAGAGCAGCAGCUUGGCUCCAUCCAUGCCUGCUCACAGAUGUGUUUGUCUGGGGAAUGAAAGCAGAACCCACCACACUUCAAGGCUUCCCUGGGGCUCAGCCUGUUCCUUGUUGUUGACAGUGCUGUUUGAUGCCUUCUGGGUGCAUCUAGCCAUGGGAUAGGGUUAUGGACAUGUUUAAUAAUGACACAGUAAAGGUGUAUUUGGAGGAGUCACGUGGAGGCUGAAGGUUUACAGAGAUCAGCUCCUGGCAGGACAGCAACUCCUUCCUGCAGUGCUGCGAAGGUCACCUUUGAAUCUUUGUUUUGUAGUGCAGCGAAGUUUGAGGGCAGCUUCCUUGUGCUCUGUAUAAGGCAGCUUUUCUACCAUACGGAGAAAGAAUGGCAGCACCUCUGACUUUGUUCUUCACAGUUGCUCCUCAGUGCUCCAUUCUUUCCCUUCCCUUCCAAUAAGAAAAAAGGGGACAGACUCUUUAGCAGGGUCUGUUGUGACAGAACAAGUGAAAAUGGUUUCAAACUAAAAGAGGGAGAGAUUUAGACUGGAUAGAAGGAAAUGAUUGUUUAUGAUAAGGGUGGUGAGGCACUGACACAGGUUGCACAGAGAAGUGGUAAAUGCCCCAUCCCCACCCAUGGUCAGGCUGGAUGGGGCUCUCAGCACCUGACGGAGCUGUAGAUAUCCCUGCUCUUUGCUGGGGAGCUGGACCAGAUGGUCUUUAAGAGUUCUUUCCAGCUCAAACAAUUCUCUGAUUCUGUUAUUCUAUGCGCCCAGCUCCUCUUUGGAAGUGCUGGCUCCUGGUUCUGCUUCUUGUCAGCAUAUUGCUGCCUGCCUCUGCUUUUGGUUUAGCUAGAGCCAAGCUUAUUAUUCAAUCAAAACUCAGUGGGAGUUUUGCUGAAUUAUUGUAAACUCACUGGGGCAAAAGCUGUGCCUUCUUACUCAGCAGUGAGAGACCAUGCAUAUUGAUUAUUGCUGGGAGAAAAUAAAAAUGAAUACAUUC
ensembl:lncRNA